AUACGGAGGGGGUUAGCGUUGUUCGGAAUUACUGGGCGUAAAGCGCACGUAGGCGGAUUAGUAAGUUAGAGGUGAAAUCCCAGGGCUCAACCCUGGAACUGCCUUUAAUACUGCUAGUCUUGAGUUCGAGAGAGGUAAGUGGAAUUCCUAGUGUAGAGGUGAAAUUCGUAGAUAUUAGGAGGAACACCAGUGGCGAAGGCGGCUUACUGGCUCGAUACUGACGCUGAGGUGCGAAAGCGUGGGGAGCAAACAGGAUUAGAAACCCUAGUAGUCC
rnacentral:rRNA from 1 species